rnacentral:rRNA from 1 species
UACAGAGGGGGCAAGCGUUGUUCGGAAUUACUGGGCGUAAAGCGCGCGUAGGCGGCUUUGCAAGUCGGGUGUGAAAUCCCCAGGCUUAACCUGGGAACUGCAUUCGAGACUGCAUUGCUAGAGUAUGGGAGAGGGAUGUGGAAUUUCCGGUGUAGCGGUGAAAUGCGUAGAUAUCGGAAGGAACAUCAGUGGCGAAAGCGACUUCCUGGACCAAUACUGACGCUCAUGUGCGAAAGCGUGGGGAGCAAACAGG